rnacentral:misc_RNA from 1 species
AAUCCAUUCUCUCUUUCCCUCGCCUCUCUGUGUGUCAUCUCCUUCUCGCUCUACUCUGUGCUUCUAAUUAAAGCCCCUCUUUCUAUUGUGAGCCCGUGUGACGGUCCCGUUUUUCCUCUUCCCCUUGCCGCUCCCUCUUUCUCUCAACUUGCGCGCCCUCCUGUCACGAGAGCCUCUUCUCAAAAUAUUGUGUGGGGCCCACGAAGACAACAUACAAGAGGAUGGCUGCCGCACAGCAGGUUGCGAACGCGUUCACCGUCGAUUUCGUCGAGCGUGUAGCAAAGAACGCGGCAAACAUUGCCGAUCUCUACGGCCGCCACGCCACCCUCACGGUCAACGACUUUGAGCUCGGAAUCUCUGAGGUGCACGACAGCUAUGUGCCGAUCGCCGUGCAGAAGUGGGCCGUCUCGCUGCAGGGCAGCCGCCUACGUGUGGACAGCGUUAAUGCCGCGCCCCUCUACGGUGGCGUAAACGUGUUCGUGACGAUGACCGCCUUUGGGGAGAUGCAGCAGUACUACCACAUCGUUACGACGCUGGAGUCCUUCCAGGACACCUACGGUAUGGACGGCUACUAUGUUCGUCACCAGGUCAUUGCCCGCAUCGGCGCCGUCACCCCGGAGCCGCCAGCGCCUGAGCCGACCCCGGCCGCCGCGGAGAAGUCGAAGUCGCCCACGCCUGAGCCUGAGGCGGCCCCUGCGCAGCCGGCGCCGAAGCCGGAGGCGGCCGAGGAGCCCGCGUCGGCCGCCGCCCCUGCGGAAUUGGAGGACGAGGAGGAGAAGCCCGCACCGGCGCCGGUGAGCAGCAAGCCGAAGAGCUGGGCUAGCCUGGUGAGCCGCGCCCCGGUGAAGACAGCUGAGCACAAGCCAAUGCGCGUGGUGGCCCACGAGGGUGGCAAGAAGCCGACGACUGAGCCUGCCGCCACGGCUGCGGCUGCGCCGGCGUCCAAGCGUCUGCCGCCGCGUGAGCGCAAGGUGUCAGAGGCUGUAGGUGACCGCCUCAUGUUCAACACGACCGGCUCCGUGACAGACGAUGAGAUCCGCGCCGCCCUCGGUCCAAUGUCUGCGCAUCUCGUGUCCCUGCGCAACAACUCAGCCAAGGGACACGUCUUUAUGGACUUUGCGGAGAAAGUCAACGUCUUUGAUGAGCUCUCCAAGGCGCAGCCCGUGAUAGGCGUCUCCAAGGUGAAGAUGAGCGUCUUUCGCCAGCGCGCCCGCGAGUAGGAAGACCGGAGGUGACAUGGUUGCUGCUCGUGUAGGAAUGGCCUCCUUUUUUCGCGUUUCUCCCUCCCUUCCUCGCGGCUAUGUCUCCUUCCUCCCUUGCCCCUCCCCCUCCCCUCCUUUUUUCGUUCUCCGCCACGACACACGCGAG